rnacentral:rRNA from 1 species
AUACGUAGGGGGCGAGCGUUGUCCGGAAUGAUUGGGCGUAAAGGGCGCGUAGGCGGCCCGGUAAGUCUGGAGUGAAAGUCCUGUUUUUAAGAUGGGAAUUGCUUUGGAUACUGUCGGGCUUGAGUGUAGGAGAGGUAAGUGGAAUUCCCAGUGUAGCGGGGAAAUGCGUAGAGAUUGGGAGGAACACCAGUGGCGAAGGCGACUUACUGGACUGUAACUGACGCUGAGGCGCGAAAGUGUGGGGAGCAAACAGGAUUAGAUACCCUGGUAGUCCACACUGUAAACGAUGAAUGCUAGGUGUAGGGGGUAUCGACCCCUUCUGUGCCGCAGUCAACACAAUAAGCAUUCCGCCUGGGGAGUACGGCCGCAAGGUUGAAACUCAAAGGAAUUGACGGGG